AGGGACAAGUAGGAGAAUUGAAUGGGGAUGUGAUAGGAAUCAACACCCUUGCAUUUUUCAAGUCCUUGGUGAUGGCAGUAACCACUGAAAUCCCUCCUGGAGUGCAGUAUUGCAUUUGAUUUACUGUUUUCCUAGGUACAGGUAGUUCUAAUGACUUCCUCUUGGCCUUUCCCAUAAUAGUAGCCAUCAUCUUAUGGAUUAAGGAAUGAAUUUUGGAAUUUUGCUAACUUCUAAGUAAGUCUAUUCCAAUUAUGCAUUCGGUAGCUGGGGAAGAGAUCACAGGAUGGGUUCAGGGACCCAGUUAGUGACCACUCAAGGACCCACUUUAGUUUAAGAUGGACCUAAUCUACAACUCUAUUAUAAUCACCUGAUCUUUAUAAAGCCCUAUUCUGUCUGGAGACCCAUUGUAAGGUUUUGGAUAUCCUGAAAUCAGUAUAAGUUUAGAGCCAGUGACCAAAAAUCCCUGAAAAGUCUGAUUAUUUCCUUUUUUUCAACGCAUAGUUACCUAGUAAAAGGCCGUGGGUCUCUCUGGGGAAGGCUGGGAGAAAGAUUAACAAUAUACAUUUUUGGUAGUGUACCAAGGUCUUUUCUUGAGUGAACCCAUCCUCUCCUUUAUUCAAGGGAUUCUCGGUCUGCAACCUGGCUCAAAUCCGGGAAUUGAGGAAAGAGCCACAGAUUUGCUUCUUCCUAGCAAGGGCCUGGUACUAACACCAGUUCCAUCCAAAUAUUGUUCACUACUUCUUAGACAGAGACCCCUUUCUCCCAGGUCAUGCUGAUGCAAGAGGUGGGCUCUCACAGCCUUGGACAGCUCUGCCCCUGUGGCUUUGCAAGGAUCCCUGAGACGCCUUUGCUGUGAAUAAUGGAGAAGCAAAAGGAGUUACUAAUAAGACAAACUAAACCCAAGAACAGAGAGAGCCUAAGUUACAGAUACAUAUGUGUGUCUAAGAUUAAGAAACUAAGGCAUGAAGAAGUGAAGUCAUUUGUUCAAGGUCAGGCAGCUACUAAGUGAGAGAACAGAGAAUUAAAUCAAGCUGCCUGGAUCCCAAGGUCAUGCUCACAACUGGAGACUAAACAGCCUCAUAUUAGAUUUCCUCCAUGGAAAAAUAUCCUAUUUUCAUAUGGUGAACUAUAUAUUUAAUAUUUUAAUUUUGCUAACACAUUAUUGUUUUUUCACUGUACAUAAGUGAAACUGUUCUUUUCUUUUUUAUUAGUGUGUUUGUGUGUGCACAUGAAAAUUUGUUUUCUUUCUUUUCUAUUUUGGUCAAACUUUCUUUGU